GUGACUGCGUACCUUUUGUAUAAUGGGUCAGCGACUUAUAUUCUGUAGCAAGGUUAACCGAAUAGGGGAGCCGAAGGGAAACCGAGUCUUAACYGGGCGUUAAGUUGCAGGGUAUAGACCCGAAACCCGGUGAUCUAGCCAUGGGCAGGUUGAAGGUUGGGUAACACUAACUGGAGGACCGAACCGACUAAUGUUGAAAAAUUAGCGGAUGACUUGUGGCUGGGGGUGAAAGGCCAAUCAAACCGGGAGAUAGCUGGUUCUCCCCGAAAGCUAUUUAGGUAGCGCCUCGUGAAUUCAUCUCCGGGGGUAGAGCACUGUUUCGGCAAGGGGGUCAUCCCGACUUACCAACCCGAUGCAAACUGCGAAUACCGGAGAAUGUUAUCACGGGAGACACACGGCGGGUGCUAACGUCCGUCGUGAAGAGGGAAACAACCCAGACCGCCAGCUAAGGUCCCAAAGUCAUGGUUAAGUGGGAAACGAUGUGGGAAGGCCCAGACAGCCAGGAUGUUGGCUUAGAAGCAGCCAUCAUUUAAAGAAAGCGUAAUAGCUCACUGGUCGAGUCGGCCUGCGCGGAAGAUGUAACGGGGCUAAACCAUGCACCGAAGCUGCGGCAGCGACACUGUGUGUUGUUGGGUAGGGGAGCGUUCUGUAAGCCUGUGAAGGUGUGCUGUGAGGYAUGCUGGAGGUAUCAGAAGUGCGAAUGCUGACAUAAGUAACGAUAAAGCGGGUGAAAAGCCCGCUCGCCGGAAGACCAAGGGUUCCUGUCCAACGUUAAUCGGGGCAGGGUGAGUCGACCCCUAAGGCGAGGCCGAAAGGCGUAGUCGAUGGGAAACAGGUUAAUAUUCCUGUACUUGGUGUUACUGCGAAGGGGGGACGGAGAAGGCUAUGUUGGCCGGGCGACGGUUGUCCCGGUUUAAGCGUGUAGGCUGGUUUUCCAGGCAAAUCCGGAAAAUCAAGGCUGAGGCGUGAUGACGAGGCACUACGGUGCUGAAGCAACAAAUGCCCUGCUUCCAGGAAAAGCCUCUAAGCAUCAGGUAACAUCAAAUCGUACCCCAAACCGACACAGGUGGUCAGGUAGAGAAUACCAAGGCGCUUGAGAGAACUCGGGUGAAGGAACUAGGCAAAAUGGUGCCGUAACUUCGGGAGAAGGCACGCUGAUAUGUAGGUGAAGUCCCUCGCGGAUGGAGCUGAAAUCAGUCGAAGAUACCAGCUGGCUGCAACUGUUUAUUAAAAACACAGCACUGUGCAAACACGAAAGUGGACGUAUACGGUGUGACGCCUGCCCGGUGCCGGAAGGUUAAUUGAUGGGGUCAGCGCAAGCGAAGCUCUUGAUCGAAGCCCCGGUAAACGGCGGCCGUAACUAUAACGGUCCUAAGGUAGCGAAAUUCCUUGUCGGGUAAGUUCCGACCUGCACGAAUGGCGUAAUGAUGGCCAGGCUGUCUCCACCCGAGACUCAGUGAAAUUGAACUCGCUGUGAAGAUGCAGUGUACCCGCGGCAAGACGGAAAGACCCCGUGAACCUUUACUAUAGCUUGACACUGAACAUUGAGCCUUGAUGUGUAGGAUAGGUGGGAGGCUUUGAAGUGUGGACGCCAGUCUGCAUGGAGCCGACCUUGAAAUACCACCCUUUAAUGUUUGAUGUUCUAACGUGGACCCGUGAUCCGGGUUGCGGACAGUGUCUGGUGGGUAGUUUGACUGGGGCGGUCUCCUCCUAAAGAGUAACGGAGGAGCACGAAGGUUGGCUAAUCCUGGUCGGACAUCAGGAGGUUAGUGCAAUGGCAUAAGCCAGCUUGACUGCGAGCGUGACGGCGCGAGCAGGUGCGAAAGCAGGUCAUAGUGAUCCGGUGGUUCUGAAUGGAAGGGCCAUCGCUCAACGGAUAAAAGGUACUCCGGGGAUAACAGGCUGAUACCGCCCAAGAGUUCAUAUCGACGGCGGUGUUUGGCACCUCGAUGUCGGCUCAUCACAUCCUGGGGCUGAAGUAGGUCCCAAGGGUAUGGCUGUUCGCCAUUUAAAGUGGUACGCGAGCUGGGUUUAGAACGUCGUGAGACAGUUCGGUCCCUAUCUGCCGUGGGCGCUGGAGAACUGAGGGGGGCUGCUCCUAGUAC
rnacentral:rRNA from 1 species